rnacentral:rRNA from 1 species
GGGCCCGCACAAGCGGUGGAGCAUGUGGUUUAAUUCGAUGCAACGCGAAGAACCUUACCAGGGCUUGACAUACUACAAAUUCUUUUGAGAAAAAAGAAGUGCCUUCGGGAAUGUAGAUACAGGUGGUGCAUGGCUGUCGUCAGCUCGUGUCGUGAGAUGUUGGGUUAAGUCCCGCAACGAGCGCAACCCUUAUUUUUAGUUACCAAUUCGUUGGGUUUUUUAGAAAGACUGCCGGUGACAAACCGGAGGAAGGUGAGGAUGACGUCAAGUCAGCAUGCCCCUUAUGUCCUGGGCUACACACGUGCUACAAUGGUUAAGACAAAGAGUCGCAAGCUCGUGAGAGUAAGCUAA